rnacentral:rRNA from 1 species
CUUUGAAGUGUGGACGCCAGUCUGCAUGGAGCCAACCUUGAAAUACCACCCUUUAACGUUUGAUGUUCUAACCUAGGCCCAUAAACUGGGUCGGGGACCGUGUCUGGUGGGUAGUUUGACUGGGGCGGUCUCCUCCUAAAGAGUAACGGAGGAGCACGAAGGUUGGCUAAGCAUGGUCGGACAUCAUGCGGUUAGUGCAAAGGCAUAAGCCAGCUUGACUGCGAGAGUGACGGCUCGAGCAGGUACGAAAGUAGGUCUUAGUGAUCCGGUGGUUCUGAAUGGAAGGGCCAUC